GCAAACGCUACUUAUAUAGUUCCCUUGAUUGAGCAUAUACAAUAUACAUAUCAUUAUAAUGAUUCGUAUCCAAAAUGGUUCGCAUCACAAGGCCUCCUGCUCUGUUUACAUGAUUUCUUUCAUUAUAUUACUGCUGUUGGUCUCAUCCGAAAUAGUCUCAGCUGCCAGAGUUCAAAAUAUCCCAAUCAGCACUUCCGAAAUUCCUUCUGCGGAGUUCGUGGAGAUUACUAAAGCAAAAUCACCAUCGUUGCCGGUUGGCGACCGAAUCUUAUUGGCAGUGGGCAACAAUCCACCUAUAGGAGUUCCGGUUGAACCAUCGCCUCCAGAUCAUAUUGGCUGAAGUUUCAUUUGGUUCAUGUAUAAAUAUUAAUGGUAGCCACUGAAAGGGAUGUUAGUUUACAGUAAGGGCUUUUGAAUUUAGCUAUUAUAUUAUUUUCUUUUCAGCAACUUAAGAAAGAACAAAGUAAAAGGAAGAUGAACUGAGCCUGUAUUCCUAUUGUGCCUUUAUUAUGAAUAAAAUGUAGAUUACAGUGAGCGAUUUUA